GCGCUUUGGCAUGCGAAGCCUGCGUUGAAGGCGGCUGCGCGCCCCGGAGGGCGCAACCAGGAAAAAGACGGCUUGGAAACCGCGCUGGAGGAUAGACAGGCGGGGAGCCCCGCCCCCUGGCACCUCUGCUGCGCCCUGCGCCUGGCUCGCUCGCGGGCAUUGGGGGUGCUGCUGCCUUCCCUGCACGGGAAGGAGUGGAGAACUUAGUUUAUUUUUGCUGUUCGCCUUCCAUCUCCAUGAAGUGCUUGGUCAGCAGCAACCAGUGUAGAAACUACAGCAAUUAGUGUCAGCUUGGACAAGAAAACUCCCCAAAGGAGCCUUUUGCAACUGAGAACAGAGCAUGAUCAAAGGCUGACCUUCAAUCAACUUAUAUCAGAUGUGAUGCAAUCUUUUUUUUCCCCCAAUUUUAAAUAAAUUUAUUAAUAUUCAGUCAAAAUUGUCAAUCUAUAUAAUGAAAUAAAAAAAAUUAAUUGCAAAUAUUCAUUAAUUAUGCAAUAUAUUUUAAAUUAAUAAAAUAAAAUUACCUUUUAGUA